GCGGGCAUGUAAAAUUGAGUUAUGUUCCAUUUUGUAAUUUUAUCAGCUGUAAUGCCUGAACAGUAAAUGUAUAUUUGCUCAGAAAGUCAAAAUCACCCACCGCCCUCACUCCCCUCAAGCGACUCCCGUCCUCGCCAAGCUGCCCCCCCCCCCAAAUAAAGAAGCAGCCCCCCCACACCAGAACUGUAGAUACAUCAAUGUUAAUUUUGCAUUGAAAUAUGCUCCAGAUCCCCAUUCACUUAUGGCUAUUCACCCAACCCGCAAACGCAUGGCAGCCCUCUUUAUACAAUAUGGCUCUAUCUUUAUACUCAUGCAGCUCGGUGAGGCUGCUCACGGUUUUCGUCGUCCAUGUAAGCAAGGAUGCAGAGACCCAGCAGAUCAUCAAAUAACUCUUUCAGUCUGCGGAACAUCCCGUACGCACGUAGGCAGUCUCAUAGAAUCAUAGAUUUCCAGACAGGGUUGCCAACUUUGUUCAGCUGGCUGGAGUGAGAUUUUCAAUUUGAGACAAGUCAGGAAACACAUUUACAGGUAUGCAACAGUUUUAUUACCUUGCAAAUAGUCUGUAGGGUUUGCAAACUAUCUCAGUGCUUCUGUUGUAGCUAAUUUUAGGUUUAUAAUGUACUAGUCAUCUUCUCUCACUGUUCUGUAUGCAGAGUAUUUUAGAAGAUCAUUCGUUCUCAUGACCAUGAGAUUUCACUAUGCUGUUGUCAGCACAAGGGAUUCCUGACUUGCUGACCACUCUAGCUUCCGACACUUAACAAUUGACCCAUCUGUACUAUUUUACUAUCUUAUUUUGUUUAUUAUUGUUUGUUCUCUGGGUUUUGAUCAUUUUAAACAAUGUUUUUGAGCUACUGGACACCUGAAUUUCCCUGAGUUGGUGAAUAAGCAAGCCGUGACUUCAAAACCAAGGUACGUAUCAAACCAUGAUUUUUGUGUACCGUUAUACUCAUACUAUCUAUCUAUCUAUCCAUCCAUCCAUCCGUGAUGGAAUGAUAUAGAUUUGCCAUAAGAUUUCUUGCGUGAGCGUGACAAUCUGAAAGCGUUAGUGCCAUGCUAGAUGUUUCCAGGUCUGAAUUCAGGAAUGCGUAGUUUGAAACUGAGACCGUAGCCUAUCCAACCUUUGCUUUUCUUGGCCACAGAUGGCUGCCAUUUUCAGCUGUUCUGCAACAAAUGCUUCCUGGAUUUAUACUCGCUAAUCUGUCUGUGUUCUCAACUGAUUUUUUGAAAGUAUAUUGUUACAGAAGGAGAGGUUUCUAUUUCAGUGACACAUUCCUGGAUGGUGUUUUGGUCUUUUUCUGGGUGAAAACAUUGGAAAACAUAGAUUUAUUGAUGAAUAAACAGGGCAUAGUUAAUAUUAGGCCCACCGUAAACCUUGUUUCUCUCUAAAUAGAGUUGAGGCGCCAAGACGGCCUCUGCCGUGCAACAUGGAUCUCUUCAAAGUUUAUUUACAUCCUGGCGUUCAUCCAUCUCAUAACAUCUCACGCGCAUGGUGCUUCUUCAGCCAUAUAAGCUCUGUGUUCUUAGUGGGAAAGGGUCCGUCUCUUUCAAAGGACAUCAAUAAGAAAUCUUACUACAAGUAUUGAAAACAAAAAUUUGCGUAUGCACCCUUGCGGCAUUUUAAUAUUGAAAUAUGGGCCGCAAAUAGAACUUGGUGGAAGCCCCAGUUGUAUGUGGAAGUGAAGCUUCACACACUCGAAGGUGGGGCUCUGGGAUUCUGGAAAUCAGAAGAGUUCCUCCCCGGAGUCGAGGCUGAGCAAGACGCCACAGAGGACUGCGCCCACGAGGCUUUGCGCAACAUGCACUAGAGAACAACUGUUUACAAAUGUGGUCGUUCCCUUCAGUCCCAAGAGCCCGAUCAUUCUUUCAGCAUCUACAAAAUUCCUGCCUUGAUCCUUCUACUGAACUCCAGCUCUCGUUCUCUUUUCAUUCCCCAUUCCCUCUUGACUGAUUGGAUCGCCUCUUUGGACAAAACUCUCUGCCAAAUAAAUAAAUAGAAUUAAAAUGUAUUCCUUCUUUCCCCAGAAUAAACAACAGAAAAUUCAUAAAUGUUGUACAAUCCCGAGGUGUUUCGUCAUCGUUGGCAUGCGCAACUGUUGCCUGUUAUUCUAAUUAUUUAAGAUAUUAUUUACUGUACUGCCAGGUGGUGGCUGUUUGAGGCAUCUUAUUCGUGAGUGGGAGCAGGUCUCAGUCACGUUGUGGCUUACAGCUGCCGCACUGGAGAGUCUGAAUGUUUUAAAGUGUUAACCUCCCCCAGCAGGUGUUUUGGUGUCUUUUCGACCUUCAGCCCCCAACAUGUUACAUAGCCCUGUUUAACCUGAGGGGCUCCUGAAACAGGACGCACAAAGAG